UGGGGAAUAUUGCACAAUGGGGGAAACCCUGAUGCAGCGACGCCGCGUGAACGAAGAAGGUAUUCGUAUCGUAAAGUUCUGUCCUAUGGGAAGAUAAUGACAGUACCAUAGAAGAAAGCUCCGGCUAAAUACGUGCCAGCAGCCGAGGUAAUACGUAUGGAGCGAGCGUUGUCCGGAAUUAUUGGGCGUAAAGGGUACGCAGGCGGUUUAAUAAGUCGAAUGUUAAAGAUCGGGGCUCAACCCCGCAAAGCAUUGGAAACUGAUAAACUUGAGUAGUGGAGAGGAAAGUGGAAUUCCUAGUGUAGUGGUGAAAUACGUAGAUAUUAGGAGGAAUACCAGUAGCGAAGGCGACUUUCUGGACACAAACUGACGCUGAGGUACGAAAGCGUGGGGAGCAAACAGG
rnacentral:rRNA from 1 species